AGUCAGUCAAAGGGAGUAGAAACAUGUCUGGGAAAUUGAGAGAGGAAAAUGGAAUUGAGACAAACACUGGAAAUACCUGCCUAUUGCAUGGAUAAGCAGUAUUCUCCUGUUUUGCACUGAGCAGGCUUUUAUUUUUUGUCUUACUCAACUGCAAUUGAACUAUGAUUCUGUCUGAAGAAAAUGGAAAGCGAGAGGAGAGGAGAAGGAGGUUUUUUUUAAUCCAUUGUAUCAGUGCCCUAUUUGAUCCAUAACACCAACUGCUCUGGACACAGGAGAUUCUCUGUAUCACUACUGGAAACAUCUUCUGAGCGAGGCAGAAGGUCACCAAAGGACACAGUCAGGAUCCUAGCAGGAGGAUGACACAGGAAACACUCCUAUCACAACGUUUGGGGGCACACAUGCAGAAGAAGAGGACACGGCUUAGUAAAGCCUAGGAAGUGGAAAGAACAUAUGCAAUCCUUUUCUUAGCAACACAGCAUUAUUUCCAAAAAAGUCCUUCCUUCCUUCUAGAAAAUCUUUCACAACAUAAUAAUAAAAAAUAAUACUAAGAAUUAGCAGGGAAGCACUCAUGCUGAUAAAGACUAACAUCUUAACUUCAAAGGAAAAUAAGAACGCCCAGGAUUUUUCCCCUCAAAAGCCAUAACCUGUAUCAAUUAAAUGUGUGUUUUGUUGCAGGUUCUUUUUGUUUGGUUGGUCGGUUUUUAAAAUAUCAGGAAUUUAAAUGGUAAGUUUACAGUUUUCCACCUUAUGGCCAGAGGCAACACUUUAUCUAAGUUUUACUAUAAAGGAGCAGUAUGACCGUAACUCAAUAGACUGCAACACUUACAUGC
rnacentral:lncRNA from 7 species